UCUCAUUAUUGUCAUCACUCUCAUCAUCAUCACACUCAAGAAGGAACUUGAAAAACAGACUUCCUCAUCAGCUGUCCUUGUCCAGGAAAGACAGAAGAGGACUUAGACCAUCAGCGCUCCUGGGUCUCAGGUCUGUGGCCUUGGACUGGAACUACACCACCAGCUUUCUUGGGUCUUCAGCUUGCAGAUGGCAGAUCGUGGGACUUCUCAGCCUCCAUAAUCAUCGCCUUGCACAACAUGGGCAAUCAGUAAAGGCGAAGUGCUUGUUUCCUUUGUUGAUGUUGGUCCACCAAGAGCUUGCUUUAUCUCGUGUGUGAAGAGUCCCUGUGAGCACACAACAAGAUGGCAGCCGUCUGCAAGCCAGGAAGAGAGCUCUCAUCAGAAACUGAAUUGGCUGAACCUUGAUCUUUGACUUCUAGCCUCCAG
rnacentral:lncRNA from 1 species